rnacentral:rRNA from 1 species
AACGAACGCUGGCGGCAUGCCUAACACAUGCAAGUCGAACGAGACCUUCGGGCCUAGUGGCGCACGGGUGCGUAACGCGUGGGAACCUGCCCUUAGGUUCGGAAUAACUCCCCGAAAGAGGUGCUAAUACCGGAUAAUGUCUUCGGUCCAAAGAUUUAUGGCCUUUGGAUGGGCGCGCGUUGGAUUAGCUAGUUGGUAGGGUAAACGCCUCCCAAGGGGAGGAUCCAUAGCUGGUCUGAGAGGAUGAUCCGCCACACUGGGACUGAGCCACGGCCCAGACUCCUACGGGAGGCAGCAGUGGGGGAUAUUGGAAAGUGGGCGAAAGCCUGAUCCAGCAAUGCCGCGUGAGUGAUGAAAGCCUUAGGGUUGUAAAGCUCUUUUACCCGGGAUGAUAAUGACAGUACCGGGAGAAUAAGCACCGGCUAACUCCGUG